GAAGCCUAACAGACACAUCAUUGUGGUCCAAAACCACUCGGAAGUGACGUCAAAAUGACGUAUAAGCAAACGCGCUGCACACUUGUCGAGUAUCGAGAUCCGUGGUCGAGUCGAGUUACGUGAAAGUUUUCGGACCACACUGGAGUGUAUGUUAAAACGUCGCAACCUUGGGUGAGCCAUAAUGGACUGUGAAGUAGAUGUCAGUUUGCGACAACGGUCGGUGAUGGAGUUCAAGACCGGCGAUGACUCUGCCACAUCGAUUCACAGGAAGUUGCUCCCUGUUUAUGGGGAUGAGACAGUGAGUCGCAGCAGUAUCCAGUGGUGGUUGCAGAGGUUUAAAGACGGUGUGUUUCACGAACAGCAGGCCGAAAGUUGGCAGUACUGGCGCUCGCUGUAUUGCAGUAGUUCGAGUAACGAAGAUUUUUCUGAGGUCCAAUAGGAGGGCUUCCGAAAUUCACGCCGCGAACAAUGUUCCGGCUACAAGGCGUGAUUCUAGCUGGUGCACACUUCAAUGUAGAUCCAAACAUUGUUUCUUUAAGACAAAAGUGUAAGGAAUAAAAGUAUGUUAUCAGGUGUAGGAUUACUUAUUUUAUUUGAAAAAAAUCACGAAAGUCACCUAUUUUUCAUGCGUUCACAGAGGGCUGCCCCCAUAAGUCACGGGAAUGGGCUGGCCAAACCUGAAUAUUCUCUCGUUCAAAGAUCGCCUCCUCGUUCAAAUCUCGAUGCGGCUGCGCAUUGUCAUCCACACCUGAAAAGACGCACAUGGGGAUGUAGCACAGCAUCACAAUAAAGUUGAGUGGUGAGCGCACCGGGGUCAAACAUUUGGAGGUCAGUACGCCCAUGUCACAUUAAACCUCUCGACCCCAUAACACCUGGACCUGUGCUGCACAGUCUUCCUGGGUGCAUUACAUCUCUCGCCGUAUGGGGGUACGUCCAACAUUAUCGAACAUGAUCAUUUUGGUGGUCCAGGUACUAUGGCGCGGGAAAGCAUAAGGUUGGACUGUCAUACUGAUCUCCAUAUCUUUCAUCAAAGUACACUCACCGGUAAAAUUUAUUCUGCUACUGCACCCGUUCCCCGUGUGCAUCUUUUCUGGGUCCAUUCAGCCCUGGCCCAUUUUUAUGGGUGACAGUGCGCUUCCGCAUGGGAUUGUGCGAGUGUAGGACCUCUUGGAACAGGAGUAUAUUGGGCGAAUGGAU